GACGAACCGGACAAACGUUAUUCGGAAUCACUGGGCUUAAAGGGUGCGUAGGCGGCGCGCCAAGUUGGGAGUGAAAUCCCUCGGCUCAACCGAGGAAUAGCGCCCAAAACUGCGGUGCUUGAGGGAGGCAGAGGUGAGUGGAACUUAGGGUGUAGCGGUGAAAUGCGUUGAUAUCCUGAGGAACACCGGUGGCGAAAGCGGCUCACUGGCUCACUUCUGACGCUGAGGCACGAAAGCUAGGGGAGCGAACGGG
rnacentral:rRNA from 1 species